CCGAUUUAUCAUUUGGGGGAGACGCUCUCUCCCCCGACCGACACCUCCGUGCACUCUGGGAGAGGCCUCUCGAAAGAGGGUCCCCCUCCCGUUUUACGAACGCCUCGUAGUCUCGCGCGUGUCAGUGAAAUAAAAAUCGAAACA
rnacentral:misc_RNA from 1 species